rnacentral:rRNA from 1 species
UACGGAGGGUGCGAGCGUUGUCCGGAAUCAUUGGGCGUAAAGGGCGCGUAGGCGGCUGGAUAAGCGUGCGGUGAAAGCUCGGGGCUCAACCCCGAGUCGGCCGUGCGAACUAUCUUGCUUGAGCACUGUAGAGGCAGGCGGAAUUCCGGGUGUAGCGGUGGAAUGCGUAGAGAUCCGGAAGAACACCGGUGGCGAAGGCGGCCUGCUGGGCAGUAGCUGACACUGAGGCGCGACAGCGUGGGGAGCAAACAGG